rnacentral:rRNA from 1 species
CUGGCGGCGUGCCUAAUACAUGCAAGUCAACGGUCUUUCUAUGGAAGCUUGCUACCACUGAAAAGAUAGUGGCGAACGGGUGAGUAACACGUGGGUAACCUGCCCAUAAGAGGGGGAUAACAUCCGGAAACGGGUGCUAAUACCGCAUAGUUUUCUUGAUCGCAUGAUCGGGAAAGGAAAGACGGCCUUUGUGCUGUCGCUUAUGGAUGGACCCGCGGCGUAUUAGUUAGUUGGUGAGGUAACGGCUCACCAAGACGAUGAUACGUAGCCGACCUGAGAGGGUGAUCGGCCACAUUGGGACUGAGACACGGCCCAAACUCCUACGGGAGGCAGCAGUAGGGAAUCUUCCGCAAUGGACGAAAGUCUGACGGAGCAACGCCGCGUGAGUGAAGAAAAGGUUUUCGGAUCGUAAAACUCUGUUGUCAGAGAAGAACAAGUUGGAGAGUAACUGCUCCAGCCUUGACGGUAUCUGACCAGAAAGCCACGGCUAACUACGUGCCAGCCGCCGC